ACUCCUACGGGAGGCAGCAGUGGGGAAUUUUGGACAAUGGGCGAAAGGCUGAUCCAGCAAUGCCGCGUGAGUGAAGAAGGCCUUCGGGUUGUAAAGCUCUUUUGUCAGGGAAGAAACGGUGAGAGCUAAUAUCUUUUGCUAAUGACGGUACCUGAAGAAUAAGCACCGGCUAACUACGUGCCAGCAGCCGCGGUAAUACGUAGGGUGCAAGCGUUAAUCGGAAAUACUGGGCGUAAAGCGAGCGCAGGCGGUUUUGUAAGUCUGAUGUGAAAUCCCCGGGCUCAACCUGGGAAUUGCAUUGGAGACUGCAAGGCUAGAAUCUGGCAGAGGGGGGUAGAAUUCCACGUGUAGCAGUGAAAUGCGUAGAUAUGUGGAGGAACACCGAUGGCGAAGGCAGCCGCCUGGGUCAAGAUUGACGCUCAUGCACGAAAGCGUGGGGAGCAAACAGGAUUAGAUACCCUGGUAGUCCACGCCCUAAACGAUGCCUACUAGUUGUCGGGUCUUAAUUGACUUGGUAACGCAGCUAACGCGUGAAGUAGACCGCCUGGGGAGUACGGUCGCAAGAUUAAAACUCAAAGGAAUUGACGGGGACCCCCACAAGCGGUGGAGCAUGUGG
rnacentral:rRNA from 1 species